AUUGAACGCUGGCGGCAGGCCUAACACAUGCAAGUCGAACGAGUGGCGGACGGGUGAGUAAUGUCUGGGAAACUGCCCGAUGGAGGGGGAUAACUACUGGAAACGGUAGCUAAUACCGCAUACCAUCGGAUGUGCCCAGAUGGGAUUAGCUAGUGGGUGGGGUAACGGCUCACCAAGGCGACGAUCCCUAGCUGGUCUGAGAGGAUGACCAGCCACACUGGAACUGAGACACGGCCCAGACUCCUACGGGAGGCAGCAGUGGGGAAUAUUGGACAAUGGGGGAAAGCCUGAUGCAGCCAUGCCGCGUGUAUGAAGAAGGCCUUCGGGUUGUAAAGUACUUUCAGCGGGGAGGCGGUACCCGCAGAAGAAGCACCGGCUAACUCCGUGCCAGCAGCCGCGGUAAUAC
rnacentral:rRNA from 1 species